rnacentral:tRNA from 1 species
GAUUCCGUGGUGUAGUGUAGUGUUAUCACAUCUGCGUUACGCGCAGGAGGUCGCCAGUUCGAUCCUGGCCGGAAUCA